rnacentral:rRNA from 1 species
GAUGAACGCUGACAGAAUGCUUAACACAUGCAAGUCUUUGGCGAAGCUGUGCUUGCACAGCCUAGCCAAGGCGGACGGGUGAGUAACGCGUAAGGAACUUGCCCUGCAGUCAGGGAUAACAGACGGAAACGACUGAUAAGACCUGGUAAAGUCAGGCGGACUCAUGUCCAGCCUGAUGAAAAGAGAUGCUGCAGGAGAGCCUUGCGUCCUAUUAGCUUGUUGGUGGGGUAACGGCCCACCAAGGCGAUGAUAGGUAGCCGGCCUGAGAGGGUGGACGGCCACAAGGGGACUGAGAUACGGCCCUUACUCCUACGGGAGGCAGCAGUGGGGAAUAUUGGACAAUGGGGGCAACCCUGAUCCAGCAAUUCUGUGUGCACGAUGAGGGUUUUCGGAUUGUAAAGUGCUUUCAGCAGGGAAGAAAAAAUGACGGUACCUGCAGAAGAAGCGACGGCUAAAUACGU